GACGAACGCUGGCGGCGUGCUUAACACAUGCAAGUCGAACGGAAAGGCCCUGCUUUUGUGGGGUGCUCGAGUGGCGAACGGGUGAGUAACACGUGAGUAACCUGCCCUUGACUUUGGGAUAACUUCAGGAAACUGGGGCUAAUACCGGAUAGGAGCUCCUGCUGCAUGGUGUGGGUUGGAAAGUUUCGGCGGUUGGGGAUGGACUCGCGGCUUAUCAGCUUGUUGGUGGGGUAGUGGCUUACCAAGGCUUUGACGGGUAGCCGGCCUGAGAGGGUGACCGGCCACAUUGGGACUGAGAUACGGCCCAGACUCCUACGGGAGGCAGCAGUGGGGAAUAUUGCACAAUGGGCGGAAGCCUGAUGCAGCAACGCCGCGUGCGGGAUGACGGCCUUCGGGUUGUAAACCGCUUUCGCCUGUGACGAAGCGUGAGUGACGGUAAUGGGUAAAGAAGCACCGGCUAACUAUGUG
rnacentral:rRNA from 1 species